CCUUCGAUAGCUCAGUUGGUAGAGCGGUGGACUGUAGAAUGAAGAGGUUUAGUAAUCCAUAGGUCACUGGUUCAAAUCCGGUUCGAAGGA
rnacentral:tRNA from 1 species